rnacentral:rRNA from 1 species
UCACGUAAGGAAAGCGGAAGCCGGGAAUGGAAAGCCCGGUGCAAGCGGGGUACCAGUCACUUUGGCAAAUCCGGGUGGCAAUGGGAAGCCGUGAUGCGGAGCGAAAUAAAGUAGCGAAGUCCGUGAGCCAUGCGUCAAGAAAAGCCGCUAUCGUUUAUAUCGUACCCGUACCGUAAACCGACACAGGUGGAUGAGGAGAGAAUCCUAAGGCCGGCGGAAGAAGCAUUGUCAAGGAACUCGGCAAAAUGGCCCCGUAACUUAGGGAUAAGGGGUGCCUGGGAAACCAGGCCGCAGAGAAUAGGCUCAAGCAACUGUUUAGCAAAAACACAGGUCUAUGCGAAACCGAAAGGUGAGGUAUAUGGGCUGACGCCUGCCCGGUGCUGGAAGGUUAAGAGGAGAGGUUAGCGCAAGCGAAGCUUUGAAUUUAAGCCCCAGUAAACGGCGGCCGUAACAAUAACGGUCCUAAGGUAGCGAAAUUCCUUGUCGGGUAAGUUCCGACCCGCACGAAAGGCGUAAUGAUUUGAGCGCUGUCUCGACAAUGCAUCCGGUGAAAUUGAAGUACCAGUGAAGAUGCUGGUUACCUGCGCCAGGACGGAAAGACCCCAUGGAGCUUUACUCCAGUCUGGUACUGGGACUCGGUAUUGCAUGUACAGGAUAGGUGGGAGGCUAGGGGAUGGUAACGCCAGUUGCCAUGGAGCCGCUGUUGGGAUACCACCCUUGCAGUAUUGGGUUUCUAACCAGCCGCCGUGACCCGGCGGUGGGACAAUACCAGACGGGGAGUUUGACUGGGGCGGUCGCCUCCGAAAGGGUAUCGGAGGCGCCCAAAGGUUCCCUCAGAAUGGACGGAAACCAUUCGAAGAGUGCAAAGGCAGAAGGGAGCUUGACUGCGACACCGACGGGUGGAGCAGGUACGAAAGUAGGGCUUAGUGAUCCGGUGGUAUUAAGUGGGAAUGCCAUCGCUCAACGGAUAAAAGCUACCCUGGGAUAACAGGCUUAUCACUCCCAAGAGUUCACAUCGACGGAGUGGUUUGGCACCUCGAUGUCGGCUCAUCGCAUCCUGGGGCUGUAGUAGGUCCCAAGGGUUGGGCUGUUCGCCCAUUAAAGCGGUACGCGAGCUGGGUUCAGAACGUCGUGAGACAGUUCGGUCCCUAUCCGGCGUGGGCGUAGGAUAUCUGAGAGGAGCUGUCCUUAGUACGAGAGGACCGGGAUGGUCGGGCCGCUGGUGCAUCGGUUAGACUGCCAAGUCUACGGCCGAGUAGCCAAGCCCAGAAGGGAUAAACGCUGAAGGCAUCUAAGCGUGAAGCCCCCCUUAAGAUGAGAUAUCCCAUUCGUUAAGAAGUAAACCCCCUUGAAGACGACGAGGUAGAUAGGGCAGAGGUGGAAGUGCAGCAAAGCAUGGAGCUGACUGUUACUAAUCGGGUGAGGGCUUGACC